rnacentral:rRNA from 1 species
CGGGAUUUUCCGGUUGAUCCCGCCGGACCUGACUGCUAUCGGGUUGAUACUAAGCCAUGCGAGUCAUUGUAGUAAUACAAGGCAGACGGCUCAGUAACGCGUAGUCAACCUAAGCUAUGGACGGGGAUAACCUCGGGAAACUGAGAAUAAUACCCGAUAGAACAUUAUGCCUGGAACGGUUCAUGUUUCAAAUAAUUUAUUGCCGUAGGAUGGGACUGCGGCCUAUCAGUUUGUUGGUGAGGUAAUGGCCCACCAAGACUAUUACAGGUACGGGCUCUGAGAGGAGUAGCCCGGAGAUGGGUACUGAGACACGGACCCAGGCCCUAUGGGGCGCAGCAGGCGAGAAAACUUUGCAAUGUGCGAAAGCACGACAAGGUUAAUCCGAGUGGUUUCUGCUAAAGGAACCUUUUGCCAGUCCUAGAAACACUGGUGAAUAAGGGGUGGGCAAGUUCUGGUGUCAGCCGCCGCGGUAAAACCAGCACCUCAAGUGGUCAGGAUGAUUAUUGGGCCUAAAGCAUCCGUAGCCUGCUUUGUUAGUUUUCGGUUAAAUCUAUUCGCUCAACGAAUAGGCUGCCGGGAAUACUGCAAAGCUAGGGAGUGGGAGAGGUAGACGGUACUCGGUAGGAAGGGGUAAAAUCCUUUGAUCUAUUGAUGACCACCUGUGGCGAAGGCGGUCUACCAGAACACGUCCGACGGUGAGGGAUGAAAGCUGGGGGAGCAAACCGGAUUAGAUACCCGGGUAGUCCCAGCUGUAAACUAUGCAAACUCAGUGAUGCAUUGGCUUGAUGCCAAUGCAGUGCUGCAGGGAAGCCGUUAAGUUUGCCGCCUGGGAAGUACGUACGCAAGUAUGAAACUUAAAGGAAUUGGCGGGGGAGCACCACAAGGGGUGAAGCCUGCGGUUCAAUUGGAGUCAACGCCGGG